CCUACGGGUGGCAGCAGUCGAGAAUCAUUCACAAUGGGGGAAACCCUGAUGGUGCGACGCCGCGUGGGGGAAUGAAGGUCUUCGGAUUGUAAACCCCUGUCAUGUGGGCGCAAAUUAAAAAGAUAGUACCACAAGAGGAAGAGACGGCUAACUCUGUGCCAGCAGCCGCGGUAAUACAGAGGUCUCAAGCGUUGUGCGGAAUCACUGGGAGUAAGGCGUGCGUAGGCUGUUUCGUAAGUCGUGUGUGAAAGGCGCGGGCUCAACCCGCGGACGGCACAUGAUACUGCGAGACUAGAGUAAUGGAGGGGGAACCGGAAUUCUCGGUGUAGCAGUGAAAUGCGUAGAUAUCGAGAGGAACACUCGUGGCGAAGGCGGGUUCCUGGACAUUAACUGACGCUGAGGCACGAAGGCCAGGGGAGCGAAAGGGAUUAGAUACCCGUGUAGUC
rnacentral:rRNA from 1 species